GGGCCCGUAGCUCAAUGGUCAGAGCCGGCGGCUCAUAACCGCUUGGUUGGGGGUUCGAGUCCCUCCGGGCCCACCA
rnacentral:tRNA from 1 species